rnacentral:rRNA from 1 species
GACGGAGGAUGCAAGCGUUAUCCGGAAUGAUUGGGCGUAAAGCGUCCGCAGGUGGCAGUUCAAGUCUGCUGUCAAAGACCGGGGCUUAACUUCGGAAAGGCAGUGGAAACUGAACAGCUAGAGUAUGGUAGGGGCAGAGGGAAUUCCUGGUGUAGCGGUGAAAUGCGUAGAGAUCAGGAAGAACACCGGCGGCGAAGGCGGCACUCUGGGCCGGUACUGACGCUGAGGAGCGAAAGCGUGGGUAGCAAACAGG